rnacentral:tRNA from 1 species
GCACCUGUGGUGAAGUGGCUUAACGCGGCGGUCUGCAAAACCGUUAUUCGCAGGUUCGAAUCCUGUCAGGUGCU